rnacentral:rRNA from 1 species
UACGAAGGGGGCGAGCGUUGUUCGGAAUUACUGGGCGUAAAGGGCGCGUAGGCGGCCGAUCAAGUCAGAUGUGAAAGUCCUGGGCUUAACCUGGGGACUGCAUUUGAUACUGAUUGGCUUGAAUGCAGGAGAGGAUAGCGGAAUUCCCAGUGUAGAGGUGAAAUUCGUAGAUAUUGGGAAGAACACCGGUGGCGAAGGCGGCUAUCUGGACUGUGAUUGACGCUGAGGCGCGAAAGCGUGGGGAGCAAACGGG